CAUGCAUGCUUUUACAGUAUGAAAAUUGGUGAUUUAUAAUAACUUAGCAAAUCGCAUAGUGAAAACAGGCGAUAAAUCAUUCAAGUUUCUGACCUAUCAGCUUUCGACGGUAUGGUAUUGGCUUACCGUGGCAGUGACGGUUAACGGGGGAUUAGGGUUCGAUUCCGGAGAGGGAGCCUGAGAAACGGCUACCACAUCUAAGGAAGGCAGCAGGCGCGCAAAUUACCCAAUUCUAACAGUUUGAGAGAGGUAGUAACAAGAAAUAACAAUACAAGGCAGUUAAAAUGCUUUGUAAUUGGAAUGAUAGAAAUUUAAACCCUUUUUAAAGUAUCAAUUGGAGGGCAAGUCUGGUGCCAGCAGCCGCGGUAAUUCCAGCUCCAAUAGCGUAUAUUAAAAUUGUUGCAGUUAAAAAGCUCGUAGUUGAAGUUCUGCUAAAAGUAACCGGUCUGCUUUGAAUAAAAGUGGUAUCUUGGUAUGUAUUUAGCAAUGAUGUCCUUUGAAGUGUUUUUUACUUUAUUGUAAUAAAGCAUAUUCAGGACUUUUACUUUGAGAAAAUUAGAGUGUUUCUAGCAGGCCAACGCUUUGAAUACUGCAGCAUGGAAUAAAA
rnacentral:rRNA from 1 species